CGGGUCAAAGAAAUCACAUACGGCGAGUGAGCGGCACAGCUCAAAUUUGAAAUCUGGCGCCUUCGGUGUCCGACUUGCAAUUUGAAGAUUGUAACCUUGGGGUACGCUCUUUUCUAUGUUUCUUGGAACCGGACGUCACCCCCGGUGAAAAUCCCCUCCGACCAGAUGCCCCAUUCCAUGCAAGGUGCUUUCUAAGAGUCUACUUGUUCGGGAAUGCGGCUCUAACUGGGUGGUAAAUUCCCUGGCAACUAAAUAUUGGCGAACGACCGAUAGCGAACAAAUACAAUGAUGGAAAGAUGAGAGAACUUUCAAAAGAGAGUGUUGUUUACGUGGAAUUGUUGAAAGGGAAGGGUUUGAGAUAGGUGCCUUCUUUUUGUGAGGCCGUGCCUUCGUGGCGGGGUGACUGCGCGGAGAUGGGGAGGGGGCGCGUUUGGGGCGGCGACUAAUGGUUGUAGGAAUGUGACUUGCCUUCCGUCAAUUGUUAAACCCUGACCUGAUGCUGCCUGCCUAGACCGAGGACUGCGAUUUUAUCAAGGAUGCUGGCAUAAUGAUCCCAAACCGCCCGUCUUGAAACACGGACCAA
rnacentral:rRNA from 1 species